AAAAAGUAAAAUUAGUUAAAUAAAUUAGGUUAAAUAUAAACAAGCAAAUAAAAAACAAAUCACUAUACUAUAAAACUCCAUGGAAACAAGAACUAUAUGUUUUUACUCCCCAUUUUAUUCCCAGCACGUAACCCUAGGCAUAGCCAACAGCAGACAUUCAAGAAAUACUUUUGCACAAAUGAACAAAUGAAUAAAAUCUGAUGUUUCUACACUCUUCAUUGUGGGAGCUGGCUCAUCUUUGCUUCUACAGUAAAGAUUCAAUCACUGGCUUGCUACAGAAGAAAAACAGAUGUGAUGUUGGAAGUCACAAGUUGAGAUGAAAAGAAGGGUAAACUUCCAUCAGCCUGGGUUCCUGAGGUCCUAAGUUUGCUAAUUCAUAAUGAAUAUGUAACACAAAUGAGAAAUAAACUUUUGUUGUUAA